CAGAGGUGGCAAGCGUUGUUCGGAUUUAUUGGGCGUAAAGGGUCCGUAGGCGGUUUGGAAAGUCAGAUGUGAAAUCCCACAGCUCAACUGUGGAACUGCAUUUGAAACUUCCAGACUAGAGUAUGAGAGGGGUAAAGGGAAUUCCCGGUGUAAGGGUGAAAUCUGCAGAGAUCGGGAGGAACACCUGUCGCGAAGGCGCUUUACUGGCUCAUUACUGACGCUCAGGGACGAAAGCUAGGGUGGCAAACGGGAUUAGAUACCCCGGUAGUCCUAGCCGUAAACUAUGGUCACUAGGUGUCGGGGGGGUUAAACCCUUCGGUGCCAUCGCUCACGCAUUAAGUGACCCGCCUGGGGAGUACGGUCGCAAGGCUG
rnacentral:rRNA from 1 species